UUAUAAUGGAGGUUUAAAUAAUCCACGGAGAACCUUGAGAUAAAGCAAGAACCGUUGGAAAAAUAGGAAAGAAUCUCAACUCAAUCUUAGUAAACGGUUGGUAAGAAAGGACUUUCCAGGUGGAGGCAACAGAUAUUCCUCUUGCCUCACCCUUGUGCUUGCCUGAUGGAGGUGAAACUGCUAUGAACAUUGUGUCAAGUCUUGGCAUGGAUGUUCCACAGAAGAUCCUGUGCUUGGUCUGCAUUUUGAGAAACACAACAAAGUAGCAAAGCCUUGGUUUUCCUGAGUGUCCUCUGAGGUGGGUCCUGUCACAGCCCAAGGGGGGUCUCUGCACCCCAGUCAUUUCCUCCUCUUCAAGGAGACAUCUGACAUUCCUCCUGCUGUGUAAGUCAGCAAGGCAGAUGCACUUCAAAGGAGAUUCCACAGCCCAUUCAAGAGAGAAUAACUCCGCUGCUUGUUUCUUUUUAUUGGGAUGAAACCAUACAGCAUAAAAUUUACCAUUUAACCACUUCAAGAGUGGCAUUAAGUACAUUCCAUUAGGAAAGUAACUUUCUUGCUUACAGUUCAUUGACAACAAAAUAGAGUUCUCCAGAGACCUUCAGAUCUGCAGCCCAGAGCUUUUUCCAUGUGGUCUUUACCUAAACCAGCUCCAUCUCCACUCUCCGUGUUUAUGCCCAGAUCCCAGCCUCCUGUCCUCUGGAGUCCAUGACUAUAUUUUUUCUUUAUUCCCUGCACCAAGGAUUAAGGCAGAGGCAUCUAUUUCUACUAUGACUCCGUUUCUAGUGUAGAAGGUGGUAGAAGAUGGAACAUGCUCACUCAGAAAGGGCGCAGUCGUUUUGGACCAGCAACUUAAGAGAUGCUCUUUCCUCCUGCUUGCGGCUUCUUGUCAGUCAUGGAAUCACUGUGGCCGCAGACUCAUCAACAGCUGAUUUCCUGGGAAAAGGUGAUAAACCUUGGAAGGGACGAUUAAGUAUAUCCCUCUGACACAGUUGCAUGGACUCUUGUCCGCAUUGCAGCUAUCAGCCCCAUUUAGUGAAAGAAGAUGGAGACUUAGGUUGUCUCAUGGCACUCUAAAUCUUUUGAAUUUCCAUUUUCAGAAAGUGUUGCAGGGCCGUGUGCAGUGCAGUGUGAACCUGAGUGGCAUAAAUUUUUGUCCCACAGUAUAACCUACGUGUACACUUCCGCUUAAACAAGAACACACCACACCUGCCAGUGUUCCAUGGGGAUGUUACCCUUCAGCAUUUUCCAGGCCCACCAGCCUCCAGCCUUGGCUAAUAGCGUCCAGAAAAUUAGAGAAGCUGUUUUCAUUGUGGGGUGGGGGGUGGGGCAACAGUCUGAUCACUUUUCUCCUGAGCAGAUAUGGUCUUAAUUGUGUCUCAUAUUUGGAGGCAGGAAACCGUCAUCUAUUCUAUUCCUCGUUAGAACUAAGAGGUUUUAUGUAAACAGUCUUUCUGCCACCCUGUUAACCUCAAAUAACCCCUUUGCACCUGCCAAGUUGCACUGUGAACUACAUACACCCUUCUAGACACACACUCAGCUUACAAGCAGGUUCCGUAGUCAACGAUUUGGGGUGACAGUUGCCCUGUAAAGCUUAAAAACCUCCAACACAUUUUCUCCCAUAGAUUUCACAGGAAAUGCAGGUGCCAGGCUGCGUGGCCCCAGAAAAGUCCCUUUACCUUUCUAGGUCUCCGACACUAACAUGAGAAAGUUGGGCUGGUGGCUCUGUGAGGUCCCCAGGCAGUCUUCAUAUUCUAGACGGCUUUCUGCUUGGGCCCUGAACAGCAAACACUCAGUGCUUUGUUUCCAGGAAGAGUCCGGUGGAUGAAAGCUGAAGCCAGUGGCCCUUGAGCACACUCUCAGGGCUGGCCUUCCUGCACCCGUGGACUGCAAGUGAGAGAGUUACACGUGGCUGUAAUAAAAAUGAAAGUGCUCUGUUGAUUCACUAGCAAGCCCAGCUUCACUUGUGCAGUUACUGAUGCCUGCAAUCAGCUCUGUGAGGUGAGCCAUAUUUGAGAGAGGACAGGAUGGCGCUAGCAGGUUUGGCUCAGUGGAUAGAGUGCCAGCCCACAGAUUAAAGGGUUCUGGGUUUGAUUCCAGUCAAAGGGAACAUACCUCGGUUGCAGGCCGGAUCCCUGGGCCUGGUCUCUGUGUCUUCCCCCUCCCUUCCACUCUCUCUAAAAAUCAGUAGGAAAAUAUCCUCAGUUGAGGAUUAACCAAAAAAAAGAAAAAAGAAAGGAUAGGAUGCCACACCCUCCUAUACAGUGUAUGGGUGCAGUCACCAUGGUUCACCA